rnacentral:misc_RNA from 1 species
AAGUCGUAACAAGGUUUCCGUAGGUGAACCUGCGGAAGGAUCAUUAAUGAAUUCGAAUCGGUCGUCUGUGCUGGUGGCAACACAUGUGCACGUCGAUCAUCAUUCCAUUCUCCUUUCAAUCGUCCAAGUGUGUGUCUGGUCGACCUCGGUCGAAGAGUUGUGGCCCUCGGGCUCAAUUUGUUCCAGAUGUGCCUUGGUUAUUUCACCCACUCUGGGUAUUUGAAACAAAGAAAUUUUUAUAUAAACCAUACAACUUUCAACAACGGAUCUCUUGGCUCUC